rnacentral:rRNA from 1 species
GAUGAACGCUGGCGGCGUGCCUAAUACAUGCAAGUCGAGCGAACAGACGAGGAGCUUGCUCCUCUGACGUUAGCGGCGGACGGGUGAGUAACACGUGGAUAACCUACCUAUAAGACUGGGAUAACUUCGGGAAACCGGAGCUAAUACCGGAUAAUAUAUUGAACCGCAUGGUUCAAUAGUGAAAGACGGUUUUGCUGUCACUUAUAGAUGGAUCCGCGCCGCAUUAGCUAGUUGGUAAGGUAACGGCUUACCAAGGCAACGAUGCGUAGCCGACCUGAGAGGGUGAUCGGCCACACUGGAACUGAGACACGGUCCAGACUCCUACGGGAGGCAGCAGUAGGGAAUCUUCCGCAAUAGGCGAAAGCCUGCCGGAGCAACGCCGCGUGAGUGAUGAAGGUCUUCGGAUCGUAAAACUCUGUUAUUAGGGAAGAACAAAUGUGUAAGUAACUAUGCACGUCUUGACGGUACCUAAUCAGAAAGCCACGGCUAACUACGUG